CCUACGGGAGGCAGCAGUGGGGAAUUUUGGACAAUGGGCGCAAGCCUGAUCCAGCAAUGCCGCGUGAGUGAAGAAGGCCUUCGGGUUGUAAAGCUCUUUUGUCAGGGAAGAAACGGUUCGGGUUAAUACCUUGGGCUAAUGACGGUACCUGAAGAAUAAGCACCGGCUAACUACGUGCCAGCAGCCGCGGUAAUACGUAGGAUGCAAGCGUUAAUCGGAAUUACUGGGCGUAAAGCGUGCGCAGGCGGUUGUGCAAGACAGAUGUGAAAUCCCCGGGCUCAACCUGGGAAUUGCAUUUGUGACUGUACGGCUAGAGUGUGUCAGAGGGGGGUAGAAUUCCACGUGUAGCAGUGAAAUGCGUAGAGAUGUGGAGGAAUACCGAUGGCGAAGGCAGCCCCCUGGGAUAACACUGACGCUCAUGCACGAAAGCGUGGGGAGCAAACAGGAUUAGAUACCCUGGUAGUCCACGCCCUAAACGAUGUCUACUAGUUGUCGGGUCUUUAUUGACUUGGUAACGCAGCUAACGCGUGAAGUAGACCGCCUGGGGAUACGGUCGCAAGAUUAAAACGCAAAGGAAUUGACGG
rnacentral:rRNA from 1 species